rnacentral:rRNA from 1 species
GAUGAACGCUGGCGGCGCACAUAAGACAUGCAAGUCGAACGAAAAUCGUUAAAAACGGAUUGAAGAUUUAUCAGAUUGAAGUUUUUAACAAUGAUUUUAGUGGCGGACUGGUGAGUAAUACGUAAGCAACCUGCCUAGUAGAGGGGAAUAACAGUGAGAAAUCAUUGCUAAUACCGCAUAUGCUCACAGUACCACAUGGUACAGUGAGGAAAGGAGUAAUCCGCUAUUAGAUGGGCUUACGCCUGAUUAGAUAGUUGGUGGGGUAACGGCCUACCAAGUCAACGAUCAGUAGCCGGACUGAGAGGUUGAACGGCCACAUUGGGACUGAGAUACGGCCCAGACUCCUACGGGAGGCAGCAGUCGGGAAUAUUGCGCAAUGGAGGAAACUCUGACGAAGUGACGCCGCGUGCGGGAGGCGGGCCCUAUGGGUUGUAAACCGCUUUUGUCAGGGGCAAUAAAGUCCACGUGUGGGACUGAUGAGAGUACCUGGCGAAUAAGCAUCGGCUACUCCGUGCCAGCAGCCGCCGCUAUACGGAGGAUGGGGAGCGUAUCCCCGAUUUUUAGUGGUUUUAAUAGGUGGGGUAGGCCGGAGACUAAACCUGAAGGUGAAAUGACCGGGCGCAAACUGGCAAUGACUCCGCACUAGGAUUCUUUAUGUCAUUCUCCUGCGGGAAUAUGUGUGUGUACCGGAUGGCUAGUUACCGACCAUUC